rnacentral:rRNA from 1 species
CAGCAGCCGCUGUAAUACGUAGGGUGCAAGCGUUAAUCGGAAUUACUGGGCGUAAAGCGUGCGCAGGCGGUUAUAUAAGACAGAUGUGAAAUCCCCGGGCUCAACCUGGGAACUGCAUUUGUGACUGUAUAGCUAGAGUACGGCAGAGGGGGAUGGAAUUCCGCGUGUAGCAGUGAAAUGCGUAGAUAUGCGGAGGAACACCGAUGGCGAAGGCAAUCCCCUGGGCCUGUACUGACGCUCAUGCACGAAAGCGUGGGGAGCAAACAGGAUUAGAUACCCCGGUAGUCCCUGUCUCUUAUAC